UGAGCAGCAGAGAGGCUGUUUCCUGCUUCACUUCUGCAGGAGGAGAACUCAUCUGCUGACUGUUCGACUUUACCAUCUCCAAAGACAUGUUGCUUUACCUCUGGUUACUCUUCUCUCUCUUCAUAGCCCUGGGCUCCAUGAACAGCAUAAAGCCAGAAAGAAGUGAAGAACAUGUUGCAGAGGGCAGAAACAUCAGCCUGACAUGUAAAUAUGAGGGGACUAUCUACAGUAUCCAGUGGUACCGACAAUACCAGAGAUCCAGACCAGAGUUCCUGCUCUCCAUCACAGAGGCAGGAGGGAUCCAUCCCACUGAAUCUGAUUUCUCUGCUCACAUUGACAACACAGAGAAACGAGUUGAUCUGGAGAUCAUCUCAGCUAAAGAGACAGACUCUGCUGUGUACUACUGUGCUCUGAGGCCCACAGUGACAGGAAACACCAACACUCUGUACAAAAACCUUUGGAGCAAAGACAACACAAUACUGCACAACAUCCACCAGAGGGAGUCUCUCUCUGUUAAACAUCAAUAGUUUACUGCCUUUGGAUCUGUUACCCAGGAGGAAGUGUAACUGAGAGAAGUGAAAUACAGAUCUAAGAGGAGACAGAGAGAUUCAG